ACGGAAGUAGCUCAGUCGGUAGAGCAUCGGUCUCCAAAACCGAGGGUCGUGAGUUCGAGCCUUACCUUCCGUGCCA
rnacentral:tRNA from 1 species